rnacentral:rRNA from 1 species
AGAGUUUGAUUAUGGCUCAGAACGAACGCUGGCGGCGUGCUUAACACAUGCAAGUCGCGUGCGCAGUUUCCGUAGCAAUACGGGGAUGGGCGCACGGCGCACGGGUGCGUAACACGUGGGCAAUCUGCCCUCCGAUGGGGAAUACCCCCGCGAAAGCGGGACUAAUUCCGCAUAACAUUCCUUGCAUUAACUUUCGAGGAUUCAAAGCAGCAAUGCGUCGGAGGAGGAGCCCGCGCCCGAUUAGCUAGUUGGUGAGGUAACGGCUCACCAAGGCAAUGAUCGGUAGCUGGUCUGAGAGGAUGGCCAGCCACACUGGAACUGAGACACGGUCCAGACUCCUACGGGAGGCAGCAGUGGGGAAUCUUGCACAAUGGGCGAAAGCCUGAUGCAGCGACGCCGCGUGGGGGAUGAAGCUUUUCGGAGUGUAAACCCCUUUCGACUGGGACGAAUGCCUCGCAAGAGGAGUGACGGUACCAGUAUAAGAAGCCCCGGCUAACUACGUGCCAGCAGCCGCGGUAAGACGUAGGGGGCCAGCGUUGUUCGGAAUUACUGGGUGUAAAGGGUUCGUAGGCGGUGUGGCAAGUCGGGAGUGAAAUCUCUGGGCUCAACCCAGAGACUGCUUCCGAAACUGCUGUGCUUGAGUGUGAGAGAGGCUCGUGGAAUUGCAGGUGUAGCGGUGAAAUGCGUAGAUAUCUGCAGGAACACCCGUGGCGAAAGCGGCGCGCUGGAUCACUACUGACGCUGAGGAACGAAAG